rnacentral:misc_RNA from 1 species
GCAUUUUGUUGUAUUGGCUUGUUACAAACACCUGAACUUGUCUCAGCCUCGGCUUUCAGAUCACCAUUAACCUUGAGACGUUUAGCUUCGCAAUCAGUCAGCUCAUUUCCGCUGCUGGUGGAGGCGAGCUUCUCAUCCUCCUCCUCGUCCUCCACCGCCGCCGCAGCGGCGGCAUCCUUCCGCUUCUUUUUACCGCGGCCUCCGCCGCUCUGCUCU